rnacentral:rRNA from 1 species
UGAGGAACAUGACCUUCGGCGGGGGAUAGCCGGCCCAACGGCCGGGUAAUACCGCGUACGACCUUCCGGGGACAUCCCUGGAUGGUGAAAGCAGCAAUGCGCCGAUGGAGUGCCUCGCGGCCUAUCAGCUAGUUGGUGGGGUAACGGCUCACCAAGGCGACGACGGGUAGCUGGUCUGAGAGGAUGGCCAGCCACAUUGGGACUGAGAUACGGCCCAGACUCCUACGGGAGNAG